rnacentral:ncRNA from 2 species
CUUAAUUUAUAGCUUAACCUUCGUAUAACCCCAGCAAUAGGGCUGGGGGUCUCUACCAGGUGACCGGAAUCACCUGACUACGAAGGGGAAAAUCCUUUUC